GGUCAUUCAACAUUUAUUCAACCAAAAAUACUAAGUCAGCUCUAUACAAACUAAUGGAAGGAUACAGCUAUGCAAAUACAGAAGAACACUAAACUGUUACAUGACAGAUGUAUGAGAAGUACCUUUUGCCUCCCACUGUGAUUCUGAGGCCUCCCCAGCCAUGUGCGACUAACUGGGAAGAAAGGACCCUGAAAAGUUAGCUUGUUCCAAGUGACCCUCCAAGGGGAAGAGUGCUGGAUUCAGAGCCCACCUCAGGGGAAGACAGGACGCUCUCCAAGAUGGUUUCCCUAGAAGCUACUACCUCUCCCUGGAGGGUGGAGAUAUUUGCUGGUCAAAGCAAGAAGGCCCUCUGCAGAUGCUGACACCUUGAUAUUGGACUUCCCAGAUUCCAGAACUCUGAGAAAUAAAUUUCUAUUUUAAAUAAA
rnacentral:antisense_RNA from 1 species